UAUUGGGCGUAAGAGCUCGUAGGCGGUUUGUCGCGUCUGCUGUGAAAUCCCGAGGCUCAACCUCGGGUCUGCAGUGGGUACGGGCAGACUAGAGUGCGGUAGGGGAGAUUGGAAUUCCUGGUGUAGCGGUGGAAUGCGCAGAUAUCAGGAGGAACACCGAUGGCGAAGGCAGAUCUCUGGGCCGUAACUGACGCUGAGGAGCGAAAGGGUGGGGAGCAAACAGGCUUAGAUACCCUGGUAGUCCACCCCGUAAACGUUGGGAACUAGUUGUGGGGUCCUUUCCACGGAUUCCGUGACGCAGCUAACGCAUUAAGUUCCCCGCCUGGGGAGUACGGCCGCAAGGCUAAAACUCAAAGGAAUUGACGGGGACCCGCACAAGCGGCGGAGCAUGCGGAUUAAUUCGAUGCAACGCGAAGAACCUUACCAAGGCUUGACAUACACGAGAACACCCUAGAAAUAGGGGACUCUUUGGACACUCGUGAACAGGUGGUGCAUGGUUGUCGUCAGCUCGUGUCGUGAGAUGUUGGGUUAAGUCCCGCAACGAGCGCAACCCUCGUUCUAUGUUGCCAGCACGUAAUGGUGGGAACUCAUGGGAUACUGCCGGGGUCAACUCGGAGGAAGGUGGGGAUGACGUCAAAUCAUCAUGCCCCUUAUGUCUUGGGCUUCACGCAUGCUACAAUGGCCGGUACAAAGGGCUGCAAUACCGUGAGGUGGAGCGAAUCCCAAAAAGCCGGUCCCAGUUCGGAUUGAGGUCUGCAACUCGACCUCAUGAAGUCGGAGUCGCUAGUAAUCGCAGAUCAGCAACGCUGCGGUGAAUACGUUCCCGGGUCUUGUACACACCGCCCGUCAAGUCAUGAAAGUCGGUAACACCUGAAGCCGGUGGCCCAACCCUUGUGGAGGGAGCCGUCGAAGUGGGAUCGGUAAUUAGGACGAAGUCGUAC
rnacentral:rRNA from 2 species